AGCGAACGCUGGCGGCAGGCCUAACACAUGCAAGUCGAACGAACUCUUCGGAGUUAGUGGCGGACGGGUGAGUAACACGUGGGAACGUGCCUUUUGGUUCGGAAUAACUCAGGGAAACUUGUGCUAAUACCGAAGGUGCUCUUCGGGGGAAAGAUUUAUCGCCAUUAGAGCGGCCCGCGUCUGAUUAGCUAGUUGGUGAGGUAACGGCUCACCAAGGCGACGAUCAGUAGCUGGUCUGAGAGGAUGACCAGCCACACUGGGACUAAGCCACGGCCCAGACUCCUACGGGAGGCAGGAGUGGGGAAUCCUGCGCACUGGGCGCAAGCCUGACGCAGCCAUGCCGGGUGAAUGAUGAAGGUCUUAGGAUUGUACAAUUCUUUCACCGGGGACGAUAAUGACGGUACCCGGAGAAGAAGCCCCGGCUAACUUCGUG
rnacentral:rRNA from 1 species